rnacentral:lncRNA from 1 species
CACAGUUCUUUAACAAAGUUGGAAAACUCCAAAAUAAUUUAUCCACUGAGAAGUGUUGGAAGCUCUUAGAAGUUACUGUUUAAGAAAGGAUGGAUUCCCUCAUUUCUAAAAUAGCUUUAUUAAAAUCUCACCUACAAACACAGAGUUUCUGGACAGAGGCAUAUAGAGUCUAGUCUGUGGACGUCUCAGAAUUUGAAACCUGCUGGCCCAGACGAUGCUGAUGGGGUAUAUCCAAUGGGCGUUCAUGCUAACAACCUAGCUGGGCGCACAGAAAACCAGCAAUGGGUGAGAUCACGGUACAUGAGUGUUCACUAAGUUGUUGACAUCUG